GACGUAGGGCGCGAGCGUUGUCCGGAUUUAUUGGGCGUAAAGAGCUCGUAGGCGGCUUGUCGCGUCGUCCGUGAAAACCUGCGGCUCAACUGCAGGCUGGCGGUCGAUACGGGCAGGCUGGAGUUCGGUAGGGGAGACUGGAAUUCCUGGUGUAGCGGUGAAAUGCGCAGAUAUCAGGAGGAACACCGGUGGCGAAGGCGGCGUCCUGGACCAACACUGACACUGAUGAGCGAAAGCCAGGGGAGCAAACGGG
rnacentral:rRNA from 1 species